GAUGAACGCUGGCGGCGUGCUUAACACAUGCAAGUCGAACGAAGCACUUUGAUCGAUUUCUUCGGAUUGAAAUUUUAGUGACUGAGUGGCGGACGGGUGAGUAACGCGUGGGUAACCUGCCUCACACAGGGGGAGUAACAGUUGGAAACGGCUGCUAAUACCGCAUAAGCGCACAGUACCGCAUGGUACAGUGUGAAAAACUACCGGUGGUAUAAGAUGGACCCGCGUCUGAUUAGCUGGUUGGUGAGGUAACGGCCCACCAAGGCGACGAUCAGUAGCCGACCUGAGAGGGUGACCGGCCACAUUGGGACUGAGACACGGCCCAAACUCCUACGGGAGGCAGCAGUGGGGAAUAUUGCACAAUGGGGGAAACCCUGAUGCAGCGACGCCGCGUCGAGUGAUGAAGUAUUUCGGUAUGUAAAGCUCUAUCAGCA
rnacentral:rRNA from 1 species